GGUGGAAAGACCCCACAAACUACCUUUCCCAACAGCCUGUCUUCCUUGUUGAGAAAAUUCUCUCAAGGUAUUUACCAGCAGUAAGUUGUUUGAUCCUCUAGAAUGUCUAAUGUCAUCUUGAUGUUGGAUUAUUGUGUUACCAAGCUAACACAAGUGAUGCCAAGAAUAGCCUGAGAAAUGCAGCAGUAAGAUGGGGAUUUAUGACUGACCCACCCCCUUGCUGGCGGGUGAGAGGAUGCCAUCUCUGUUGGAAGGAAGAAAGGCCUGCAGAUACAAUAGAAAAGCCUUCACACAAAUCUGCUGGAGAAGUAGAUCCGGGUGAAACAGCAGGAAAACUGUCGUAAAAAUGCAUAUCUCAGAUCUCCUACUAGUAGGGUCAUAAGCAACCCAUGACUCCAGCUGCUGAGGUCUAAAUCUGUCACUACUUAUGCUCGGAGACUAUUUCCUGUGGAGGAAGUAUUCUUAACCAAUUACUGCAUUUGGCUGUGAUAUGAAAGUUGGCUCAGUCCUGUAAGUUUCCA
rnacentral:lncRNA from 10 species